GCAAUGGCAUCCUUCCCAGUACAGACUGCUCUCUUACCAAAAAGGAGGAUUCUAGUGAGGAGCCCCACAGUGCAAGUGCUCGCCUGACAUCCAGAGCGUGCAAUCUGAUCUCCUCUUCCAAUUUACAAGGUUUUGAAAAGCAGACCAGGGUUUGGAUACCGAGAGACUAUAAUGUUGCUCUUGAGUCCUUCAUGGAGUGAAGCACAUCGUUGGUGUUACUGGCAAAUAGUUUUUCACAAUCAAACGGGAGAUCUUCUGUAGUAUUCUGAACCUCGCAAGGAAAAGACGACGACGACUAUGAAAGCCGUGAAGCUCAAUGCAUCACGAUUGCUGUAGCAGUGGACCUCGCAGCUGUGUUGGCAACAUCAAGCGCAGAUUGUAGUGCGGUACGGGAGAUGAUUUGUCCAUCAGACUAUGGCUUUAAACUGAUGGUUCCCCCACCCCCCGGAAUGUCAUCAAUAA